UCUGACUAUUUAAUUAAAACAAAGCAUCACAAAAGCCUGUGGUGGGUGUUGAUGCAAUGUGAUUUCUGCCCAGUGCUCUGAAAGUCAAAGUGAAGAAAUUCAAUGAAGCAUGGGGUAAAUGGCAGGAGCAGUGUCCUUUACCCAGAACUUUGUACAACCAAAUAUUAAAACGGCAAGCAUUCUUCACAGACUAAAAACUUGUUCUCUUAAUAUAAAACUUGGAAGACUAUGUAAACACAUGA
rnacentral:ncRNA from 1 species